rnacentral:rRNA from 1 species
CGGACGGGUGAGUAACACGUGGAUAACCUACCUAUAAGACUGGGAUAACUUCGGGAAACCGGAGCUAAUACCGGAUAAUAUAUUGAACCGCAUGGUUCAAUAGUGAAAGACGGUUUUGCUGUCACUUAUAGAUGGAUCCGCGCCGCAUUAGCUAGUUGGUAAGGUAACGGCUUACCAAGGCAACGAUGCGUAGCCGACCUGAGAGGGUGAUCGGCCACACUGGAACUGAGACACGGUCCAGACUCCUACGGGAGGCAGCAGAU